rnacentral:rRNA from 1 species
UACGUAGGGGGCAAGCGUUGUCCGGAUUUAUUGGGCGUAAAGAGCGUGUAGGCGGUUCGGUAAGUCUGUCGUGAAAUCCUGAGGCUCAACCUCGGGCGUGCGAUGGAUACUGCCGGGCUAGAGGGUGGUAGAGGCGAGUGGAAUUCCCGGUGUAGCGGUGAAAUGCGCAGAUAUCGGGAGGAACACCAGUAGCGAAGGCGACUACCUGGCCUGUUCUUGACGCUGAGGCGCGAAAGCUAGGGGAGCAAACGGGG